rnacentral:lncRNA from 1 species
AUCCCAUCUAUCCCUGCCCUCUGGCACUGGGAAGCCAUUCCCUGUGUCCUGUCCCUCCAGGUCUUGGAGUCCCUCUCCAUCUUUCCCCUGUUUUAAUGCCAAGGUUUCCCCUGGCAGGUCAACAUUACUUCCACUGCAGCCCAAAGGAAAGGACUCACUCAGAAAUUAGUGAUUUCCCUUCCAUUGUGCCAUUAUUCUGCCAUCUCACCUGCAGGCUGUGGUUGGUGCCUGUGCUAAGGGGGCUGAGAGGAGCAGAACCUCCCCACAGCUGCCUCGCCUCUGUGUGAAAACUCCCUCAUGAGACUGAUUAUCAAAAUCGAGGUCAUGACGCAGGUGUGUUUGAGAAACCCUUUCAAGUGAUCAGGGGUGGGGAAAAGCAACAAUCAGGGCUUGCUAGAUCAGCAAGCUCUGACCUUGCCUGCAAGGUGAGCGGGCCACAGAGAGGAAUCAGGUCUGUAGAACAACUUUUAACACAAACCUGCUCCACUUAGGCAAGAAAAAUGACUCUGUAAACCUAAACCAACCAGCAAUGGAAACUAAACUUCAGCUUUUAGGUUCCCACGCUUCAUAAAAUCUGUCUGGGGGGUGGGGGGUAAUGGUUUGUGAGAAUGAAGAAAUGCUUCCCAUCAGCUGCUGCUUGUCACAGUGGAUGUUCAGUAUCAGUGAUUGGAACACAGCCUGAAGUCAGCAAGGGCAGGUGCAGCUUCCCCAGGAGCCUGGGGGGCUUGGAGGAGGUCUGCAGCCAGCUCCCCUCUGCCACUGCAGAAGCUGAUACCAUUUUGCAGCCUGGCACCAUCUCUAAAAGAUGGCUUUUAGAGGCUGGACCACCAGUUUGCUCUGCAGUCUGUACCUGUUUCCUUCACCUGGGUUUCCUUCAGCUGAUGCUAAAGAGGUCUCAAGAAUUUACCAGAACAAAAAAGCACAAGAGGCAUGUUGUUUUCUGCAAGGCUGUGUCCACAAAUAGCCCAAACACACACCUCCCUGAAAGUAAAGAUCGGAACCCCAAACCAUGA